CNCCUAAUUGCCAUUAGAAUACGGAUGAUGA
rnacentral:piRNA from 1 species